UACGAAGGGGGCUAGCGGUGUUCGGACUCACUGGGCGUAAAGCGCACGCAGGCGGAUCGAUAAGUCGGGGGUGAAAGCCCGGGGCUCAACCUCGGAAUUGCCUUCGAUACUGUCGGUCUCGAGUCCGGGAGAGGUGAGUGGAAUUCCUAGUGUAGAGGUGAAAUUCGUAGAUAUUAGGAAGAACACCAGUGGCGAAGGCGGCUCACUGGCCCGGUACUGACGCUCAGGUGCGAAAGCGUGUGGAGCAAACAGG
rnacentral:rRNA from 1 species